CGCCUUGCCAGCCCGCUCAGAAACUUAAAGGAAUUGACGGGGCCCGCACAAGCGGUGGAGCAUGUGGUUUAAUUCGAUGAUACGCGAGGAACCUUACCUGGGCUCAAAUGUAUGUUGACGUAUUCUGAAAGGGAUACUUCUUCGGACAAUAUACGAGGUGCUGCAUGGUUGUCGUCAGCUCGUGCCGUGAGGUGUCGGGUUAAGUCCCAUAACGAGCGCAACCCCUACCUUUAGUUGCCAUCAGGUUAAGCUGGGGACUCUAAAGGAACUGCCUACGCAAGUAGUGAGGAAGGCGGGGAUGACGUCAAAUCAGCACGGCCCUUACGUCCAGGGCUACACACGUGCUACAAUGGCCGAUACAGAGGGCAGCUACCUGGUGACAGGAUGCAAAUCUCCAAAGUCGGUCUCAGUUCGGAUCGGAGUCUGCAACCCGACUCCGUGAAGUUGGAUUCGCUAGUAAUCGCGCAUCAGCCAUGGCGCGGUGAAUACGUUCCCGGGCCUU
rnacentral:rRNA from 1 species